rnacentral:hammerhead_ribozyme from 1 species
GCACUGCUACAGAGUCCCACAAUAGGACGAAACGGCCGUCCAGUGC